rnacentral:rRNA from 1 species
GCACUCCCGGGGCGUCUCAUUCUCUUCUCGAGUCGAGACGCACCAGGAGCGCACACGCUGUUACCCGAAAGAUGGUGAACUAUGCCUGGCCAGGACGAAGCCAGGGGAAACCCUGGUGGAGGUCCGAAGCGAUUCUGACGUGCAAAUCGAUCGUCUGAGCUGGGUAUAGGGGCGAAAGACCAAUCGAACUAUCUAGUAGCUGGUUCCCUCUGAAGUUUCCCUCAGGAUAGCUGGCUCUCGGGAAGAGACGAGUCUCAUCCGGUAGAGCGAAUGAUUAGAGGUGAUGGGGUCGAAACGACUUCAACCUAUUCUCAAACUCCCAAUAGAUGAGAGCCCCGGCUUGCUUGAAAGUGAAGCCGCGGGACUUGGAUCGGAGAGGCCAAGUGGGCCAAUUUUGGUAAGCAGAACUGGCGCUGUGGGAUGAACCAAACGCAGGAGUUAAGGCGCCUGAUUCGACGCUCAUCCGAAACCAUGAAAGGCGUUGGUUGCUUAAGACAACAG